GACGGGGGGGGCAAGUGUUCUUCGGAAUUACUGGGCGUAAAGCGCGCGUAGGUGGUUUGUUAAGUUGGAUGUGAAAGCCCCGGGCUCAACCUGGGAACUGCAUCCAAAACUGGCAAGCUAGAGUACGGUAGAGGGUGGUGGAAUUUCCUGUGUAGCGGUGAAAUGCGUAGAUAUAGGAAGGAACACCAGUGGCGAAGGCGACCACCUGGACUGAUACUGACACUGAGGUGCGAAAGCGUGGGGAGCAAACAGG
rnacentral:rRNA from 1 species